GAAACUUGUUCCUGCUCAUUGUGGAGUCACUACCUAUCCAGACCUGCCCAGAUGGCUUUCCCAGCUGAGUUCCCAAGAGGGCAGGACACUACCCUGGACCAGCUCCAUUUCUAUCUCCAUCCAGACUGCAGGCCUGUGGAGCUUGAAUGUAAGCCUAUGUCCACCGGAGACACUCUUGGGCUAUGGAUCUCAGGUCACCAAACCCUUCAACCCUGAAGGUUUAAAUGCCCUCUGGAGAGGCUGGGCCCUGCUGACUUGCCUCAGACCAAGCCCUGGCCACAGCACCCCUGGGCAGAGUACCCCUCGCCUCCC
rnacentral:lncRNA from 10 species